CGCUGGCGGCGUGCCUAAUACAUGCAAGUCGAGCGAACGGACGAGAAGCUUGCUUCUCUGAUGUUAGCGGCGGACGGGUGAGUAACACGUGGAUAACCUACCUAUAAGACUGGGAUAACUUCGGGAAACCGGAGCUAAUACCGGAUAAUAUUUUGAACCGCAUGGUUCAAAAGUGAAAGACGGUCUUGCUGUCACUUAUAGAUGGAUCCGCGCUGCAUUAGCUAGUUGGUAAGGUAACGGCUUACCAAGGCAACGAUGCAUAGCCGACCUGAGAGGGUGAUCGGCCACACUGGAACUGAGACACGGUCCAGACUCCUACGGGAGGCAGCAGUAGGGAAUCUUCCGCAAUGGGCGAAAGCCUGACGGAGCAACGCCGCGUGAGUGAUGAAGGUCUUCGGAUCGUAAAACUCUGUUAUUAGGGAAGAACAUAUGUGUAAGUAACUGUGCACAUCUUGACGGUACCUAACCAGAAAGCCACGGCUAACUACGUGCCAGCAGCCGCGGUAAUACGUAGGUGGCAAGCGUUAUCCGGAAUUAUUGGGCGUAAAGCGCGCGUAGGCGGUUUUUUAAGUCUGAUGUGAAAGCCCACGGCUCAACCGUGGAGGGUCAUUGGAAACUGGAAAACUUGAGUGCAGAAGAGGAAAGUGGAAUUCCAUGUGUAGCGGUGAAAUGCGCAGAGAUAUGGAGGAACACCAGUGGCGAAGGCGACUUUCUGGUCUGUAACUGACGCUGAUGUGCGAAAGC
rnacentral:rRNA from 1 species